UACGGAGGGGGCCAGCGUUGCUCGGAAUCACUGGGCGUAAAGGGCUUGUAGGCGGUCUGAUAAGUCCUGUGUGAAAUCCCUUGGCUUAACCAAGGAACUGCGCCGGAUACUGUCGGACUAGAGGCCAGGAGAGGGAAGCGGAAUUCCCAGUGUAGCGGUGAAAUGCGUAGAUAUUGGGAGGAACACCGGUGGCGAAGGCGGCUUCCUGGACUGGUUCUGACGCUGCAGAGCGAAAGCUAGGGUAGCAAACAGG
rnacentral:rRNA from 1 species